CCACGUCUCCGAUCCCACGCUCGCGAGUAAAGCAGUUUCCCCGCUCCCUCACCCUCACGCGCCCGGCCACCGCUGCGGCCUCGCCCUCGCGCUCCGCUGCCGCCGCCGCCGCUCUCGCCUCACCCUUGCGCAGCCCCGACGCCCUCCCCCUGCACCCUCCCCUCGCAGCCCAGACCUCGACGCGCGGCGCCGCCCUCCUCUCCUCCCCGUCCGCCAACCUACCCUCCCCCACCGCCGCGCCGCCGGUCUCCUGCGCCCUCCUCGCUGCAUCCAAACCGCCGCACCGCCCAGUUACGACGACGCCGUGCCCCACCGUGCCGCGGACCACCUCCGCUCGACGAACCCACCUCCUAUUCCUCUGCCUCCUCCAUCCGCGCGUGUCGACGACGCCGACACCUCCUGAUCCUCGCGAACCGGUGGCCAGUGGAGACGGAGCUGCGUGACAUGCGGCGGCUCGCAGAACUCGUACGCUCGACCACUCCCUCCCUCCGCCGCCGCUGGAGAGUCACGGAGCCGCCUCCAGGCCGCCGGAGAACGAGAUGCGUCCACAUCGGUGGCAGGCGGAGUCCGAUCUGUGGCUGCCAUAGUUCGAUCUGCGUGGAGGUGCGGCCCCUCGACCGACCCCCUCCGCCGCCGCCGAUCACCCCCUCCAAAGCUUAGCUUCCUGCAGUUCAGCAUGUUCGCUGAAGGAGGUGACGAUUUUGGUAGCUUGCAGGAAUCCAGAGUGCUCCUUCGAUCAGCUCUGGUUUAAUGCUGGUGAUUUCUGCCAGUCUGAAGUCUCUUUCUUUGGUCAGUGAGCUUGCAUCCUGGUGCCUUCCAUUGAACACCAGAUUAGCGUCACUCCCAGAUCGUGGUGGUGUCUCCUGGCUGCCAGACGGGGCUCUGCCAACCUCCCAGUGGAUAGGCCAGGCUCACCAAGGGCUGCUCCUUCCGCCACAAGGGUGACUAAGCUGCUGGUCGUGGCCCUCUAUCCCCUGUGCUCCCCUUGUCCAUAUUCAAACACAACUCCCCUCCUACUGGCCAAGGUGCACCUUCUUUCUUGAAUCGAAGCUACAACCAAGUUCAAGCACUCCCUUUGUGAUACUAGCUGUUAAUCGCCACUAUCCUGGAAGAAAAGCUCACUUUGUGAUAUAGUUUAUAGUUGCUUAUCGUUUCUCCACAUAUAUUUUGUGGUCUUUAAUAAUUGUUUCAAUUGAUCACAUAUGGGAUGUUUACUUAUGUAUCCGAAUGCGGCAGAACUUCAUGAUCGAUGUGUUUUAUGUCCGAAGUAAA